CGGAAGUGGAAGGUAAAUCUCUGCUGCUGAAGACGCCAUGCAUUUUUGACACAGGACCCGGAGGAUAUGAGCUAGAUCUGAUCUUAAAGCCUUCUCCUUGAAGAUUAGUCUUCAUGUCGCCAGAAAGCACCAUGCAAAAUUCCCAAGGAGGGACGCAACCAGCUACGAUACUAAUGAGCAAGAACAGCAACCAGCAUGUCAUCGUACCCUUAAGUUCUCCUACAGCAAGACGGGAGAUGACAACCAGAUUAUCUCUGGAAGCUCGAAAGCCUGGCAUACUCAGGGGCAAACAGAACUCAAGUAAGGUAAUAAGACCCGUACCAACCCCCCCAAAUGUCCUUAAGCCAAAAAGGAAGAGCUAUGUGAUGCUGACGUAAGAGAAGACAGAGAUCUGAGGAACCCUCUGCUGCGAACACUCUCCUCCCCUGAGCUGGUAGCCCUGGGCUAAGCUCUGUGACUCAACUGAUCCAAAGACCUCUCUUCUUCCCAGUGGGAACAUCAAAUAUCCAUCAAUAUGACCACCAAAUAUGGGGACAGUCACCUGUAUUCAACAUAAAAUCUAUAUAAUACUUGG
ensembl:lncRNA